GGGAUAGUACUCAAGAGGCUGAAGAGGACACACUGCUAAUGUGUUAGGGGAGGCAACUCCCGCGAAGGUUCAAAUCCUUUCUAUCCCGCCA
rnacentral:tRNA from 1 species